rnacentral:rRNA from 1 species
CCUACGGGUGGCUGCAGUGGGGAAUCUUGGACAAUGGGCGCAAGCCUGAUCCAGCCAUGCCGCGUGAGUGAAGAAGGCCUUCGGGUUGUAAAGCUCUUUUGUCAGGGACGAUAAUGACGGUACCUGAAGAAUAAGCCCCGGCAAACUUCGUGCCAGCAGCCGCGGUAAUACGAAGGGGGCUAGCGUUGUUCGGAAUUACUGGGCGUAAAGCGCACGUAGGCUGACAUUUAAGUCAGGGGUGAAAUCCCGAGGCUCAACCUCGGAACUGCCCUUGAUACUGGGUGUCUCGAGUCCGGAAGAGGUUAGUGGAAUUCCCAGUGUAGAGGUGAAAUUCGUAGAUAUUGGGAAGAACACCAGUGGCGAAGGCGGCUAACUGGUCCGAUACUGACGCUGAGGUGCGAAAGCGUGGGGAGCAAACAGGAUUAGAUACCCCAGUAGUC